AAAGCUUUAAGUUAAAUAAACUGUUAACCUUCAAAGUUAAAAAUAUAUAAAUUUUAUAUAAGCUUUA
rnacentral:tRNA from 1 species